rnacentral:lncRNA from 1 species
UAUGCAUAUGUAUAUAUAUAUGAGUAUGUACAUGCGUAUGUAUGUGUAUAUGCAUGUAUAUGUAUAUAUGUAUGAAUAUAUUAGUUAAGAUUAGGGUUAGGGUUUAGGGUUAGAGUUUAGGGUUAGGAUCAGGAUUUAGGAUUAGGAUCAGGAUUUAGGGUUAGGAAUAGGGUUUAGGGUAUAUUCGUAUGUAUAGAUGUAUGUGCGUAUAUGCGUAUCUAUAUAUGCAUAUGCGUAAGUUUAGGUUUACAGUUAGGAUUUAGGUUUAGGGUUAGGAAUAGGGUUUAGGGUUAGAAAUAAAGUUUAGGGUAUAUUCAUUUGUAUAUAUGUAUGUGCGCAUGUAUAUGCAUAUCUAUAUAUGUAUAUGCGUACGUAUAGGUUUAGGUUAGGAUUUUGGUUUAGGGUUAGAAAUGGGGUUUAAGGUUAGGAAUAGGUUCUAGGGUUUAAGGUAUAUUUAUCUGUAUAGAUAUAUGUGCGUAUAUGCGUAAGUAUAUGCAUAAGUAUAGGUUUAGGGUUUAAGAUUAGGGUUUAGGGUUACGAGUUAGGGUUAGGAGUUAGGGUUAGGGUUAGGGUUAGGGUUAGAAAUUAGGGUCAGGGUUAGGGUUAUGUUUUAGGGUUAGGAAUUAGGGUCGAGGGUAUAUUCAUAUGUAGAUGUAUAUGCGUAAGUAUUGGUUUAGGGUUUAGGGUUAGGAAUUAGGGUUAGGUUAGAGUUAGGGAUUAGGGUUAAGAAUAGGGUUUAGUUAGAAAUACAGUUUAGGGUAUAUUAGUAUGUAUAUAUGUAUGUGCGUAUGUAUAGGCGAAUCUAUAUAUGUAUAUGCGUAUAUAUAUAUGUAUAUAUGUAUAUGCAUAAGUAUAGGUUUAGGGUUUAGGAUUAGGGCUUAGGGUUAGGAAUUAGGGUUAGGAAUUAGGGUUUAGGGUUAGAAUUAGGGUUUAGGGUUAGGAAUUAGGGUUGGGUUAGGAAUUAAGGUUAGGAAUAGGGUUAAGGUAUAUUUGUCUUUAAAUAUAUAUGUGCGUAUAUGCGUAUAUAUAUAUAUAUAUUCAUAAGUAUAUGCAUAAAUAUAGGUUUAGGGUUCAGGAUUAGGGUUUACGGUUAGGAGUUAGGGUUAGGGUUAGGGCUUAGAGUUAGGAAUUAGGGUUAGGGUUAGGAAUUAGGGUUAGGGUUUAGGGUUGAGGGUAUAUACGUAAGUAUAGGUUUAGGGUUUAAGAUUAGGGCUUAGGAUUAGGAGUUAGGGUUAGGGUUUAGGUUUAGGAAUUAGGGUUAGGGUUUAGGGUUGAGGGAAUACGUAUGUAUAGGUUUAGGGUUAGGGCUUAGGGUUAGGAGUUAGGGUUAGGGUUUAGGUUUAGGAAUUAGGGUUAGGGUUUAGGGUUGAGGGAAUACGUAUGUAUAGGUUUAGGGUUAGGGCUUAGGGUUAGGAGUUAGGGUUAGGGUUUAGGUUUAGGAAUUAGGGUUAGGGUUUAGGGUUAGGAAAAGGGUUAAGGUAUAUUUGUCUGUAUUAAUAUAUGUGCGUAUAUGCGUAACUAUAUAUAUAUGCGUAAGUAUAUGCAUAAGUAUAAGUUUAGGGUUUACGAUUAGGGUUUAGGGUUACGGUUUAGGGUUAGGAGGUAGAGUUAGGGUUCAGGGUUAAAAAUUAGGGUUAGGGUUUAGGAUUAGGGUUUAGGGUUAGGGGUUAGGGUUUAGGAUUAAGGUUUAGGGUUUAGGGUUAGGGUUAGGGGUUUAGGGUUAGGAAUAAGGUUUAGGAUUAGGGUUAGGGUUAGGAAUUAGGGUUAGGGUUAAGGUUUAGGGUUAGAGUUCAGGGUUAGGAGUUAGGGUUAGGGUUUGGGUUAGGGUUUAGGGUUGAGGGUAUAUACGUAAGUAUAGGUUUAGGGUUUAGGAUUAGGGCUUAGGGUUAGGAGUUAGGGUUAGGGUUUAGGUUUAGGAAUUAGGGUUAGGGUUUAGGGUUAGGAAUAGGGUUAAGGUAUAUUUGUCUGUAUAGAUAUAUGUGCGUAUAUGCGUAACUAUAUAUAUAUGCGUAAGUAUAUGCAUAAGUAUAAGUUUAGGUAUAAGUUUAGGGUUUAGGAUUAGGGUUUAGGGUUAGGAGGUAGAGUUAGGGUUCAGGGUUAGAAAUUAGGGUUAGGAAUAUGGUUUAGGGUUUAGAAUUAGGGUUUAGGGUUAGGAGUUAGGGUUUAGGGUUAGGGUUUACGGUUAGGGUUAGGGUUGGGGGUUUAGGGUUAGGAAUAGGGUUUAGGGUUAGGAAUUAGGGUUAGGGUUUAGGAUUAGGGUUAGGGUUUAGGGUUGAGGGAAUAUACGGAUGUAUAGGUUUAGGGUUUAGGGUUUAGGGUUAGGGUUUAUGGUUAGGGUUAGGAUUGGGGGUUUAGGGUUAGGAAUAGGGUUUAGGGUUAGGAAUUAGGGUUAGGGUUUAGGAUUAGGGUUAGGGUUUAGGGUUGAGGGAAUAUACGUAUGUAUAGGUUUAGGGUUUAGGAUUAGGGUUCAGGGUUAGGAAUUAGGGUUAGGGUUUAGGGUUGAGGGAAUACGUAUGUAUAGGUUUAGGGUUAGGGCUUAGGGUUAGGAGUUAGGGUUAGGGUUUAGGUUUAGGAAUUAGGGUUAGGGUUUAGGGUUAGGAAAAGGGUUAAGGUAUAUUUGUCUGUAUUAAUAUAUGUGCGUAUAUGCGUAACUAUAUAUAUAUGCGUAAGUAUAUGCAUAAGUAUAAGUUUAGGGUUUACGAUUAGGGUUUAGGGUUACGGUUUAGGGUUAGGAGGUAGAGUUAGGGUUCAGGGUUAGAAAUUAGGGUUAGGGUUUAGGAUUAGGGUUUAGGGUUAGGAGUUAGGGUUAGGGUUUAGGAUUAGGGUUUAGGGUUAGGGUUAGGGGUUUAGGGUUAGGAAUAAGGUUUAGGAUUAGGGUUAGGGUUAGGAAUUAGGGUUAGGGUUAAGGUUUAGGGUUAGAGUUCAGGGUUAGGAGUUAGGGUUAGGGUUUGGGUUAGGGUUUAGGGUAUAUACGUAAGUAUAGGUUUAGGGUUUAGGAUUAGGGCUUAGGGUUAGGAGUUAGGGUUAGGGUUUAGGUUUAGGAAUUAGGGUUAGGGUUUAGGGUUAGGAAUAGGGUUAAGGUAUAUUUGUCUGUAUAGAUAUAUGUGCGUAUAUGCGUAACUAUAUAUAUAUGCGUAAGUAUAUGCAUAAGUAUAAGCUUAGGUAUAAGUUUAGGGUUUAGGAUUAGGAUUUAGGGUUAGGGUUUAGGGUUAGGAGGUAGAGUUAGGGUUCAGGGUUAGAAAUUAGGGUUAGGGUUUAGGGUUAGGAAUAUGGUUUAGGGUUUAGAAUUAGGAGUUAGGGUUUAGGGUUAGGGUUUACGGUUAGGGUUAGGGUUGGGGGUUUAGGGUUAGGAAUUAGGGUUAGGGUUAGGGUUUAGGAUUAGGGUUAGGGUUUAGGGUUGAGGGAAUAUACGUAUGUAUAGGUUUAGGGUUUAGGAUUAGGGUUCAGGGUUAGGAAUUAGGGUUAGGGUUUAGGGUUGAGGGAAUAUACGUAUGUAUAGGUUUAGGGCUUAGGGUUAGGAGUUAGGGUUAGGGUUUAGGUUUAGGAAUUAGGGUUAGGGUUUAGGGUUAGGAAAAGGCUUAAGGUAUAUUUGUCUGUAUUAAUAUAUGUGCGUAUAUGCGUAACUAUAUAUAUAUGCGUAAGUAUAUGCAUAAGUAUAAGUUUAGGGUUUACGAUUAGGGUUUAGGGUUACGGUUUAGGGUUAGGAGGUAGAGUUAGGGUUCAGGGUUAGAAAUUAGGGUUAGGGUUUAGGAUUAGGGUUUAGGGUUAGGAGUUAGGGUUAGGGUUUAGGAUUAGGGUUUAGGGUUAGGGUUAGGGGUUUAGGGUUAGGAAUAAGGUUUAGGAUUAGGGUUAGGGUUAGGAAUUAGGGUUAGGGUUAAGGUUUAGGGUUAGAGUUCAGGGUUAGGAGUUAGGGUUAGGGUUUGGGUUAGGGUUUAGGGUUGAGGGUAUAUACGUAAGUAUAGGUUUAGGGUUUAGGAUUAGGGCUUAGGGUUAGGAGUUAGGGUUAGGGUUUAGGUUUAGGAAUUAGGGUUAGGGUUUAGGGUUAGGAAUAGGGUUAAGGUAUAUUUGUCUGUAUAGAUAUAUGUGCGUAUAUGCGUAACUAUAUAUAUAUGCGUAAGUAUAUGCAUAAGUAUAAGUUUAGGUAUAAGUUUAGGGUUUAGGAUUAGGAUUUAGGGUUAGGGUUUAGGGUUAGGAGGUAGAGUUAGGGUUCAGGGUUAGAAAUUAGGGUUAGGGUUUAGGGUUAGGAAUAUGGUUUAGGGUUUAGAAUUAGGGUUUAGGGUUAGGAGUUAGGGUUAGGGUUAGGGUUAGGAAUAGGGUUUAGGGUUAGAAAAACGGUUUAGGGUAUAGUCGUAUGUAUUUAUGUAUGUGCGUAUAUAUAUGCGAAUCUAUAUAUGUAUAUGCGUAUCUAUAUAUGUAUAUACGUAUGUAUAUACGUAAGUAUAUGUGUAUCUAUAUAUGUAUAUGCGUAAGUAUAGGUUUAGGGUUUAGGGUGCAAAUAUACGUUUAGGGUUUAGGUUAAGGUUUAGGGUUUGGAUUAGGGUUUAGGAUUAGUGAUAUGGUUUAGAGUAUAUUCUUAUGUAUAUAUGUAUGUGUGUAUGUAUAUGCAUAUCUAUAUAUGUAUAUGCGUAAGUAUAUGCAUAAGCAUAUAUGUUUAUGUAUGUCUACGAAAUUUAUGUUUGACCAAAAAAAGAUCAUAUUUUGUUAAUUUUAAUUAAUAAUGUUGUAAAUAUUAUGUAAUAUAUGAUUGGAAUAAUGCAAAAUAUUAUUUAUUUGUCUGUUUUUAUAUUUUUCAGCAAAAUUAUUUAUCAAAGUUAAA